AAUGAACGCUGGCGGCAGGCCUAACACAUGCAAGUCGAACGGAUCCUUCGGGAUUAGUGGCGGACGGGUGAGUAACGCGUGGGAACAUACCCUUUGGUACGGAAUAGCCUCGGGAAACUGGGAGUAAUACCGUAUGUGCUCUUCGGAGGAAAGAUUUAUCGCCAAAGGAUUGGCCCGCGUUGGAUUAGGUAGUUGGUGGGGUAAUGGCCUACCAAGCCGACGAUCCAUAGCUGGUUUGAGAGGAUGAUCAGCCACACUGGGACUGAGACACGGCCCAGACUCCUACGGGAGGCAGCAGUGGGGAAUCUUAGACAAUGGGGGAAACCCUGAUCUAGCCAUGCCGCGUGAUCGAUGAAGGCCUUAGGGUUGUAAAGAUCUUUUCGCCGGUGAAG
rnacentral:rRNA from 1 species